UACGGGGGGAGCAAGCGUUGUUCGGAUUUACUGGGCGUAAAGGGCGCGUAGGCGGCCACCGCAAGUCGGUUGUGAAAUCUCCGGGCUUAACCCGGAAAGGUCAAUCGAUACUGCGGGGCUAGAGUGCAGAAGGGGCAACUGGAAUUCUCGGUGUAGCGGUGAAAUGCGCAGAUAUCGGGAGGAACACCAGCGGCGAAGGCGGCACUCUGGGCUGGUACUGACGCUGAGGAGCGAAAGCGUGGGUAGCAAACAGG
rnacentral:rRNA from 1 species